rnacentral:rRNA from 1 species
GAUUAACGCUAGCGGCAGGCCUAAUACAUGCAAGUCGAACGGGAUUCAAAGUAGCAAUAUUUUGAUGAGAGUGGCGCACGGGUGAGUAACGACGUAUGCAAUUUACCUUUAACUGGGGGAUAGCCCUCCGAAAGGAGGAUUAAUACCGCAUAAUAUAUUGAAAUGGCAUCAUUUUAAUAUUAAACCUACGGGGGUUAAAGAUGAGCAUGCAUCCGAUUAGCUAGUUGGUGUGGUAACGGCUCACCAAGGCAACGAUCGGUAGGGGGUCUGAGAGGAUGAUCCCCCACACUGGUACUGAGACACGGACCAGACUCCUACGGGAGGCAGCAGUAAGGAAUAUUGGACAAUGGAGGCAACUCUGAUCCAGCCAUGCCGCGUGAAGGAUUAAGGCCCUAUGGGUUGUAAACUUCUUUUAGACGGGACAAAACCCCUUUACGUGUAAAGGGUUGAUGGUACUGUCAGAAUAAGCAUCGGCUAACUUCGUGCCAGCAGCCGACGGUAAACUGUAGUCGU